UACGUAGGGACCAAGCGUUGUUCGGAUUUACUGGGCGUAAAGGGCGCGUAGGCGGCGUGGUAAGUCACUUGUGAAAUCUCUGAGCUUAACUCAGAACGGCCAAGUGAUACUGCUGUGCUAGAGUGCAGAAGGGGCAAUCGGAAUUCUUGGUGUAGCGGUGAAAUGCGUAGAUAUCAAGAGGAACACCUGAGGUGAAGACGGGUUGCUAGGCUGACACUGACGCUGAGGCGCGAAAGCUAGGGGAGCAAACAGG
rnacentral:rRNA from 1 species